rnacentral:lncRNA from 1 species
UGCACACAGUGCAGCAUGCUAUCGGCUCCCUGCAGCUGUUUAUCAGGGUCUCUUUCAUUCUCGGUGGAGACAUCACGUUCUUUUGGCUACUAGUUAUGGUUUUAUAUGUAAGACAAAAUAAACACUUCCUGUAGGGCUUCAGAAGCCAACUUCAUUUAUGUCUUAUCUUUCAUUUUCCUUCAACCCAAAGAGGAAGAAACAAGAUUAGAGGAGACUUCCAUUUAUCCGGUUGUCCUGCAGUCAGAAAAAAGAAAACCAACAGAGAGACACCAAAAAGAAGAAGAGGAGAAGGAGGAGAAAGAGGAGGAGGAGGAGGAAGAAGAGGAGGAGGAGGAGGAAAGGAAGAAAGAAAGGAAGGAAGGAAGAAAGAAAGAAAGAAAGAAAGAAAGAAAGAAAGAAAGAAAAGAAAUAACAGGCCAUAAACAAGUGAGUUGUCUUUUAGAUUUUCACAACCAAAAUACAAUAUUUUUAACCCAAGUUUGAGUCAUUUUGUAUAGCAACAAAAAUAAGACUUAUUUUCAUGGAAGAUGUCAAGUGCUUCGCUGUCUUUUUCUGUAGAGGAAACUCUGUUACCAGUUUCUGGUAUUUCCUUCCAGUGAAAUCCAUGCAAACAUCUUUAUAUUUGCUAUUUUCACAUAAAAGUGUUAAGCUUCACCUUUUCAACCUCUUUCUUUUCACAUAAUCAUGAAUCUUGAAUUUGUAUGGGUAACUAAGUAGCGAGAAUCUUGUGGGACUAGAGGUUUGGAGGAUUGAGGGAGGUCACUUGCCUGAAAGUUUCCUUUCCUAAGCAAGCACAUUGCUAUUAGGGUUCAAAUGGAUGCAGUUGGUCAACAAAUGGCAGAGGUAACGAAACAUGCUUUUAUCCAC